UUUAAAUUGAUAACAAUUAAUAUCAUUUCUUACUGCAUUUAUCUUAGCAGCCACUUACAAUCUCAUGCAACCUCUCCCUCAACUUCACAGGCUAUCUCCACUCAGCUAUUUACGUUCUCAUGCACGUGGACAUUUCUACACCAGCCGAACAACACAAAGAAAGGACGUCACCGAAAGCUAAUGCCAACCGCCGUUGGGAACAACGUGGGAGAACAAAUAUUAUAAAUAUUCAAUUGAGCGAUUGGCUCCCCACACGUUCGCGCACGUAUAUAU